AUUGAGCGCUGGCGGCAUGCCUUACACAUGCAAGUCGAACGGUAACAGGUCUUCGGAUGCUGACGAGUGGCGAACGGGUGAGUAAUACAUCGGAACGUGCCUAGUAGUGGGGGAUAACUACUCGAAAGAGUGGCUAAUACCGCAUGAGAUCUACGGAUGAAAGCAGGGGAUCGAAAGACCUUGUGCUACUAGAGCGGCCGAUGGCAGAUUAGGUAGUUGGUGGGAUAAAAGCUUACCAAGCCGACGAUCUGUAGCUGGUCUGAGAGGACGAUCAGCCACACUGGGACUGAGCCACGGCCCAGACUCCUACGGGAGGCAGCAGUGGGGAAUUUUGGACAAUGGGCGAAAGCCUGAUUCAGCAAUGCCGCGUGCAGGAUGAAGGCCUUCGGGUUGUAAACUGCUUUUGUACGGAACGAAAAGCCCUGGGUUAAUACCCUGGGGUCAUGACGGUACCGUAAGAAUAAGCACCGGCUAACUACGUGCCAGCCGCCGCCGUAAUAC
rnacentral:rRNA from 1 species